UUCCUGUAUUAAAACUUCUAAAUUACAUAAAAAUAAAACAUUAAAAUAACUACUUCUUUUUCAUAUCUUUAACAAAAGUACUAAAAAGGAAACAAUAAUAAUCUAAAGUAGUGAAUAAUCCACGUACCUUGUGCAUUAUGGUUUUACAAGCCCUAAAUUUAAAAUACCUUCCCGAAUCCUACGCGAGCUGCUCCUAUAUAGCUAAGAGCUCACUACUAGUUGUGGCACAAACUUUAGAAAAUAUACUAGCAGAGGCUACAUACCACCCGCGCUAGAAUAUUGCUGGUUCUCAGUAAAAUUUAUUAAUUAAAACAUGUAGUAAAUCUACAGUGUAAGAUCCUAGAGGACAAGCCCUAUGAUCCUAAGCUAAACUAAAUAAUAGUUAUUAAAUUAGGCCUAAAAACAGCCAUACACAGUACUUUACCGUCCUGCUACCAAAAUAAAUAAUUCACAUGCUUUAAAAAACUGAGAUUUGAGAUAAACAUUCAACCUCAAUAUAAUAUGUAAAAAUAAGUAUUAGAAUAUUAUCUACCGCCAAACUACAAACAUCCCUACAAAUGCUUAUAAAGGAACUCGGCAAUACUUAUUUUUCUUGACACAAAAUAAGAAGUAAUUCCUGCCCAGUGAUUCACAUUCAACGGCCGCGGUAUCCUAACCGUGCAAAGGUAGCAUAAUCACUUGCCCAUUAAUUGUGGGCUAGAAUGAAAGGACCAACGAAAUAAAAACUGUCUCUAUAAGCCACAUAAAAAUUAAUCUCUAACUGAAGAGUGUUAGAUUGCGUCGAAGGACAAGAAGACCCUAUAGAGCUUCAUUUUAAUGAAGACUAAAACUUCCCUAAAAUUCGGUUGGGGCGACCGGGGAAAAUUUAUCAUCCCUAAUUAAUAGAUCAAUUAAUCAAAUUUUUUUGACCCUUAACAAAGAUCACCAAAAUAAGCUACCUUAGGGAUAACAGGCUAAUCCCGUUAAAGAGUCCUUAUCAAUAACGGGGGUUGGCACCUCGAUGUUGGCUUAGGGAAUCUAUGUGGCGCAAAAGUCACAUAAAGAUGGUUUGUUCAACCAAUAAUACCCUACAUGAGCUGAGUUCAGACCGGCGUAAGCCAGGUUAGCUUCUAUCCUCGAUAAUAAACCUGUUUAUAGUACGAAAGGACCUAAAUAAGGAUAAUAAUUAUACCUUACUGAAAUAAUAUAAAUUAGACUAAACCUCACUUUACAUAAACUA
rnacentral:rRNA from 1 species